UGGGUGUGGUGCGCUCUCCUGUUCUACGGUU
rnacentral:piRNA from 1 species